rnacentral:rRNA from 1 species
UUCCGGUUGAUCCUGCCGGACCUGACUGCUAUCGGAUUGAUACUAAGCCAUGCGAGUCUUUGUAGUAAUACAAGGCAGACGGCUCAGUAACACGUAGUCAACCUACCCUAUGGACGAGGAUAAUCUCGGGAAACUGAGGAUAAUACUCGAUAGAUCAUAAUGCCUGGAAUGGUUUAUGGUUAAAAUGAUUCGUCGCCAUAGGAUGGGACUGCGGCCUAUCAGCUUGUUGGUGAGGUAAUGGCCCACCAAGGCGAUUACAGGUACGGGCUCUGAGAGGAGAAGCCCGGAGAUGGGUACUGAGACAAGGACCCAGGCCCUAUGGGGCGCAGCAGGCGAGAAAACUUUGCAAUGUGCGAAAGCACGACAAGGUUAAUCCGAGUGAUUUCUGCUAAAGAGAUCUUUUACCAGUCAUAAAACCACUGGUGAAUAAGGGGUGGGCAAGUUCUGGUGUCAGCCGCCGCGGUAAAACCAGCACCUCAAGUGGUCAGGAUGAUUAUUGGGCCUAAAGCAUCCGUAGCCGGCUCUGUAAGUUUUCGGUUAAAUCCAUGUGCUCAACGCAUGGGCUGCCGAAAAUACUGCAUAGCUAGGGAGUGGGAGAGGUAGACGGUACUCAGUAGGAAGGGGUAAAAUCCUUUGAUCUAUUGAUGACCACCUGUGGCGAAGGCGGUCUACCAGAACACGUUCGACGGUGAGGGAUGAAAGCUGGGGGAGCAAACCGGAUUAGAUACCCGGGUAGUCCCAGCUGUAAACGAUGCAGACUCGAUGAUGCAUUGGCAUAUAGCCAGUGCAGUGUCGCAGGGAAGCCGUUAAGUCUGCCGCCUGGGAAGUACGUACGCAAGUAUGAAACUUAAAGGAAUUGGCGGGGGAGCACCACAAGGGGUGAAGCCUGCGGUUCAAUUGGAAUCAACGCCGG